rnacentral:misc_RNA from 1 species
AAGGCCUCCUUACGUACACCCCCCGAGUGGUCUCAGUAAACUUUCAAGGGUCCCUUGGAUCUGUGAGUUCACGUGGAUCGUUGUACGAUCAGAUCCCAGCCAAAAACAUGGAUGUCAUGACAUGGACGGGCAGAGUCAUAACUCAUGAAUCUGAACCUUUAAGGAGGAAUCUCUUCUUGCAAAGCUUAAGUGAGGAUGGACAAGAGAGUGUGGGCAAAGCUAAUGAUUUGGACAAUGUGAACAACAAUCCUCCAGCAGAAAUUCAAGAUAAGGAUAUCGUAGAAUGUUUGGAAAGUGAUGUUCAAUAUUGGACAGAUUUUUCUAAAGUACACUAUCAUCCACAGAGUUUGUAUGAAUUAAGUGGAUUAUGG